rnacentral:tRNA from 1 species
CGUGGGAUGGAGAAGCCUGGUAGCUUGUCAGGAUCAUAAUCCGAAGGCCGCAAGCUCAAUUCUUGCCCCCGCAA